UAACACAUGCAAGUCGAGCAGAUGACGGGAGCUUGCUCCUUGAUUCAGCGGCGGACGGGUGAGUAAUGCCUAGGAAUCUGCCUGGUAGUGGGGGACAACGUUUCGAAAGGAACGCUAAUACCGCAUACGUCCUACGGGAGAAAGCAGGGGACCUUCGGGCCUUGCGCUAUCAGAUGAGCCUAGGUCGGAUUAGCUAGUUGGUGGGGUAAUGGCUCACCAAGGCGACGAUCCGUAACUGGUCUGAGAGGAUGAUCAGUCACACUGGAACUGAGACACGGUCCAGACUCCUACGGGAGGCAGCAGUGGGGAAUAUUGGACAAUGGGCGAAAGCCUGAUCCAGCCAUGCCGCGUGUGUGAAGAAGGUCUUCGGAUUGUAAAGCACUUUAAGUUGGGAGGAAGGGCAGUAAGCUAAUACCCUGCUGUUUUGACG
rnacentral:rRNA from 1 species